ACCAAUUACCAGUGCGGCAAGCAAACUAUGCCCACCGAGCAAACCCGAACUCAGAGCCCGCUCCCAGAGGACGCGGGGUGGGAGGGGCUGCUUUGAAGGAAUGUUCACUGGAGGGAAAUGAGAGGCAGGUGGCCUCUCCUAGGCUGCAGGUGAUGGUGGAGGUGGCCUCUCAUUGGCUGGCGGCUGUUGCCAGGUAGAGAGGAAAUCUUCCUUCUUCCUUCCGCGUGGACUCUGCAGGAUGAGGCCAGUGGUCCUGACCUCCGUGGAGGAGCCCAGGUGGCCUGCACAGGCAUCCAGCGCCCGAGAGCUCGGUGCCUGAGGAUCUCUGGCGCAGCGCACAGCCGUGGCCCGAUGACCACGCUGCACCUGACCUGGAAAGUCAAAUACCCAGGACAUACCCAGUCAAGGGAAUGCCCGGUGAAUGCGACAGACCAGAAAUGAGAUUGUGACCGUCUCUAAACCACACCUGAAAGCCCCGCCCACUGCGAGGCCACCCCCGGGCGCCUCCGGGCGGCGCUGCUACAGGCCAAGAUGCCACGGACACACAGGCCAGCCCCGAGGGCCUUGGACUUGUGCACAGAAGUGCUCUGAGCGGCCUCUCCCUGAAGCAGUCAUGCCGCAAAGGCCACUGACGACGAAUGACACCCACUCCUGGCGGACUGGCCAAGGAGUCAUUCCACACCAUUCAAAGUCCCCCACAAGGAGCUGAGUAUGUUGCAGAACCAUUUGCGGAGGCUGGCUUUUGCUGUUGGGUACCACUUCCCAAGUGCAAGUGCCAGCCACCCUUCCUCCCAUCUCAGCAGCUCUCCAGCAUCCUAGAGGGCUCAGAGGGUAGAAACCUCAGAGAAGGGAGAACGGUGUUCUUCAGACAGCUGGCAGGCCCCACGGCAGGCCGUGGAACAAUGUUGUGGGUCACAACCAGCGUUCUGAUUGUCGAUGGGGAAGAAUGGAGAAGAAAAGCAUCUCCACUCCCGCGUGGAGGAGGCAGGUACCUCUGUGUUGCACAGUGUGGCCCCCAGAACAUUUGUAGGUGGCCCCGGACACCAGCUGGAUGCUACCAGCUGAUAUGGUCUUGGCCUCUUUGUCUUUACCUGUAUAAGGGCCACUUGUCUCCUAAGGGGGUAUUCUGAGCAGAAAAGCCAGGGCCUCCGGGAACUGUCCAACCUGGACCCCAAACACGAGGGGCAAACAUGUGCCCCCAACGUCAGCCCGCCCGCUUGCUGCUACACAGCUCUGUCCGCACUCAGUUUUCCACACACCCUUCUUCCCAUUCCAUCCAGGAAUCGUAGGAGUUACUUUCUUAACUGGCGCUCAGCACACCUUACAGCCCACAGUGACCGUCCCCUCGUCUCAGUCUAUCAGAUGGGAAACAUGCCCCAGAUAGAUCUCUGUUGUGUAUAAGCCACAAUGUCUGUGGCAUUUUUGCAAGGGCAGCUCGAUAGGGUAAGUUAAAGUUGUCAGGAAUAAUUACAAAAGGGUGUCUUGUAGCCUUUGCCCCAUUGCCCCCGUGGGGACAUUGUGAGGAUCCACCCAGGGUUUGACAUUAACACAACCCACAAGUGCCCCCUUCACAUUGCCGCACGUUUUCUCACACUCGUAUUCGUGUUGUGCUUCUAUACAGCUUUGUCACAUGUGUGACAUCGCCACAGUUGAGAUGAUGAACUGUCAGUUACCGAAAGAACCCCCAUGGUGCCCUAUCCCCACCCCUACCCCAAUCCCCAAAACCGUUAAGCCCUAGUACCUGCUAAUCUGCCCUCAAUUUCUAAGAUCUCAUUUUUUUUAAUUAAAAAAAAUUUUUUUAACGUUUAUUCAUUUUCGAAAGACAGACUGUAAGGGGGGAGGGGGAGAGAGAGAGACAGAAUCUGAAGCAGGCUCCAGGCUCUGAGCUGUCAGCACAGAGCCCAAUGCAGGGCUCGAACCCACAAACCGUGAGACACACCUGAGCUGAAGUCGGAUGCUUAACUGACUGAGCCACCCAGGCGCCCCUUUUUUAAAAUUUCUUAAUGUUUAUUUAUUUUUGAGAGAGACAGGCAGACAGAGUAUGGGUGGGGGAGGGCAGAGAGAGAGGGAGACACAGAAUCCAAAGCAGGCUUCAGGAUCUGAGCUGUCAGCCCAGAGCCUGACAUGGGGCUCGAACCUGUGAACUUCAAGAUUGUGACCUGAGCCGAAGUCGGACUCUCAACAGACUGAGUCACCCAGGUGCCCCUGAACUGGCUUUUUCUACUCAGAAUUCGCUGAAGAUUUGUCCACAGUGUAUGUAUUAGUAGUUGGUUCUGGGAAAAUUAAUAAAAGGAAACUGCAUUCAGAAUAGAGUCUGAUGGACAGCAGGGGGCGCUCUCACACCCUACCGCUAGUUACCAGUUCCAGACCCAACAGGAAAAGUGGCACCUUGCAUCCGGGUACUACUUUAGCUACUACCUUUACUGUCUCAGUGGGAGGAAGGAACACCGCCGGCCCCCGCCAUCCCCCCAACAGCCCAGCCAAUGAGAAGCAGGCAUAGCCCAGCCAAUGCGUGAAAGUCUCAGCUCAGCCAAUGAGAAGCCACUAAAUUUUGAGCUCGCAGUUUAUUCUAAUGCACUUCUUGUUAUCACAGCCUUCCCAAAUUCGCUUGCCUUUGUGAGAGUGGUCCUCUCCUUCGUUUUGCAGAUUCACCUCUGGUUCUGCAUGAAGCUUGGUUGUCACAGAGUGCAUUUCUCUGCUAUUCCUAAAUAAACCCAUUUUACUACUCAAAAAACAAACAAAAAAAUGGCA